rnacentral:rRNA from 1 species
CCUACGGGGGGCAGCAGUGAGGAAUAUUGCGCAAUGGGCGAAAGCCUGACGCAGCGACGCCGCGUGGGGGAUGAAGGUCUUCGGAUUGUAAACCCCUUUCGGGAGGGAAGAUGGGACGGGCAACCGUUCGGACGGUACCUCCAGAAGCAGCCACGGCUAACUUCGUGCCAGCAGCCGCGGUAAUACGAAGGUGGCAAGCGUUGUUCGGAUUUACUGGGCGUACAGGGAGCGUAGGCGGUUAGGUAAGCCCUUCGGGAAAUCUCCCGGCUUAACCGGGAAAGGUCGGAGGGGACUGCCUGGCUAGAGGACGGGAGAGGAGCGCGGAAUUCCCGGUGUAGCGGUGAAAUGCGUAGAGAUCGGGAGGAAGGCCGGUGGCGAAGGCGGCGCUCUGGAACGAUCCUGACGCUGAGGCUCGAAAGCGUGGGGAGCAAACAGGAUUAGAUACCCCAGUAGUC